AACGCAGGCACCGCACCUGCGCGCAGCCCCAGGUUGGCAGAAAGAGGCCAUCACCACGUCGCAGCAGCCGCGCUGGAAAGAGGAGCUCUCCGCGCGCAGAGGCUGAGGGCUGCUCGCUUCCCGCCCACACUCGGACCUUGGCUCUGGCGGGGAGUUGGCCCUCCGCGCUCGCUGGGCGAACAAGCCAGAAGCUGAACAAAGGCUGGACUCUUUCUCUUCCCUUCCCUUCCCUGAGGGCGUCACUUAGCCUCGCGCCUGGGCUGCAGAGUUCCCUUCAGGCUCUGACUGCCAACCUCAGGCCAAGGAAUGGAGACCUGAAAUCGGCCCCUGUUUCAGGAGGAGCAGGACCCUCUCCCUGCAUUUGGGAAUCCGUGACAGCUGCGGUCCUCCUGAGCAGACCAUCCGUGGGAGGGGAAGAAACGCCCAGGUGAAGAGGCAGGAAUAGGAAAUGUGGUCUCAGGGUUCUCCUUUCAGAGACUGCAGGGGACCUGAGAGUGACAAUGCUCACAUGCCAAUUACUCAGGAGAGGCGGCUCAGGUGUCCUAUGAUGAUGUCCUGUCAUCUGUGACCUGUGGUACACUCUGCACAAGAACAGUGUCCUAGCUGCCAGCAUUCUUCUUUGAAGGCUCAAGAUUAUGUUAGAACCAGGACAACAGGACAUAGGUUGGUCUUUGGUUCCUUUUCUCUGUGUAGAAUAUCUUACAAGGUGGUGGAUAUAUGAAGACAGAUGAGGCGUUCCCAUCAUGGCUGGGUGGUUAACAAACCCGACUAGUAUCCAGGAGGACGAAGGUUUGAUCCCUGGCCUUUCUCAGUGGGUUAAAGAUCCAGAGUUGCCUUGAGCUGUGUGUGGUGAAGGUCGCAGGUGCAGCUCACAUCUGGUGUUGCUGUGGCUGUGGUGUAGGCCUGUGGCUACAGCUCCGCGAUUCGACCCCUAGCCUGGGAACCUCCAUAGGCCACAGGGGCGGCCCUAAAACGACAAAAGAAAACAAAAAGAGAAAAAAGAAAAAAACAGAUGAGAGGAACUUUAAAAAGCCAAAUGGCUUUUACAAGUUAAAAUGCAAGGUUGGUAAACUACAGAAAAAUAAGCUUACCAUGAGCUCACACUUGAUACACUUGAUAAGGAAAGAAAGGUAUGAACCUAGUAUUCAAUGGAGGCAUGGGGGUCGAGAAGGGGGACUUUAGCUAAUCCCUGUGAAAUCCCAGACUCAGAGUCUGCCCAUCUCUGCUAAGUGUCGGGGCUGGGAGGGUCUGUCACCCAAGACCUGCAGAGCUCAGUCCCUGUGGCAGGUGCUCCCCAGCCGUGCUGACCUUGCUGGUCCUCGGGGCUCCAAGCUGAGGGUCCAGACUCAGGAUGCAGCUCAAGGUCAGGUGGAUUCCCUGAUCAGUUUACCCACAGGGAGGCAACGGUGGCCUCGCAAACAUACACGGGCUUCACCCCAUACCUCCUUAUGGUUUCCAUAGCUCAUGAAGGAGUUUUCAUGCUGAGUGUCAUACAUCUUCAGCUUGAGACAGAAACAUAACUGGGUUCCACGGAGAAAAUGGCUUUUCUGACUAACAUUAAAGAGAAUACCAACAUUGAAAAUAGGUAGAACAGAUACUGUAGUGUUAGGAUUCCUGCAUCCAGUCGUUCCUUUUUUGGAAAAAACGGUGACUGAAAUCCUGCCAUAGAGCAGGCACUGUGAGUAAGAAAGACCAUCCUGCGUAAUAAAGCCUGGAAGUCAGCUGGGAAAGUCAAGGAGAGACAAAUCACACUGGAUCUACAGGAAAAGACUGGAACACAUCCGGUAACUAUCCAGAGUCUGUGGGCAGGUGGAUGGCCGAUAUGUACAGAUUUUUAAGUGAAAUGUUAAGGGAGAAAAGAGCAGAAGCUGAGAGUGCAUGCACACACCCAUUACAUCUGCGCACAAGUGGGCAUGAAUGAAGAUCAAACGAAUAUUUGAAGUGACCCCCCCACCCAGAGCAAGUAUAAUUGGCUUAAGAGCUCUACCUUGAGCACCCACAGUCUCCCAGGGGCUGUUCUAGGUGUAUGCUGUUCUGCUGCCAACACUGGGCACAAGAGAGACACCAGGAACAAGAGAAACAAAAAUUGCUGCCCUCCUGGUAUUUAUGCCCUAUGGGAGAAUAGAUGAAAUACACAAGCAACGGAACAAGACAAUGCCUGUGUAUAUCACCUGCGGGAACGGGCACCAUCUUAGCUGUAGGACUCUAGGGGGUCAGGUAUGUGUACUUUCAUGCAAUCACCACCCAGACCAAGAUAGGGAACUGUCAGGAAUUCCCACCGUGGCAGAGCAGAAAUGAACCCAACUAGUAUCCAUGAGGAUGUGGGUUCGAUCCCUGGCCUCGCUCAGUGGGUUAAGGAUCCCGUGUUGCCAUGAGCUGUGCUGUAGGUUGCAGACACGGCUCAGAUCUGGCGUUGCUGUGGCUGUGGUGUAGGCCGGCCGCUGCAGCUCCAAAUUGACCCCUAACCUGGGAAUCUCCAUAUGCCACAGGGGCAGCCCUUUAAAAAAAAAGCAAGAUAGAGAACUUUCCAGCACUGCUCCAUCACUGGUCAGCUGACCUCUGACCUCUGUCGCCUUGGAGUCAUCUUGCCUCUUGGUCAUGUAAAGGGAAUGAGGUAGUCAGUACUCUUUUGUGACUACACCCUUCUGUGCAUUUGUGUCUGUGGGAAUCACUGUGGCUGUUGCUGUGUGUUGCAAUAGCCCUUCCAUUGUCAUUGUAGGGUGUGUAUUGUAUAGCCUUCCGUCAUGUGACUAAGGGGUUUGUAAGAACAUAUCACCGUUCAUGGGUCCAUUGUCACUCGCACUGAAUCACAUUUGAAACGUUGCUAGUUUGCGGCUUCUUAGAAUAAAGCUUCUUUGAAUAUGACUGUCCCUGUCUUUUGGAAUGCAUGAGCAUGAGCACACAGCCCUAUUGGUAUCUGACAAGGCAGGGGUUCCAGGGGCAGAAGGCCUUACACACUACUGGUUUCCCAAAGGAGGUGUCCCACCAGCGGUGAAUGAUGGUUUAAGGUACUCCUCGUAGUCAAGACCUGUUGUUGGUCUUUUACAUUUGAGCCUAUGUGGGGAUAUCCUUGGAUUAACGUUGCUCGUAACUUCUCCAAAUCCGGUGAUGUCAGGCACGCUUCCCUAUGCUUCUUGACUUUUGGGAAAGGCCGUUCCAGACUUGGGCCUUUUGAUCAUUGGGUGAUAGGCUUGGCUAUGCAUUUUUGGAGAUGUGUCCUUGGUAAUUUGCAAUAGAUUUUCCCGGCUGAGCCUUGUCUACAUGCUGGACCCCCAAGCCAGCAACUCUAUAGAGUAGCACACUUUGGGAACACCUGAGCUCCUAGAAACUUCCUCUUAAGCAGACCGCUGGCCCACGUGCUUGGAAAUUGCUUCCAGAGGAUGCAGUGCAGAGGACGCAUGGUGACUGGUCAAUCAGAGACAGGAAACAUAUACCUAGGAUGUUCACGGAAGGGUGUGAAGUAGGAACCAACAGUCCCCAGAUCCGUACAUUGACUUAAGACUUGGAUACCCCGCAAUGGCAAAAGGAAGCAAAAAAUAUAUAUAUAUAAGCAUCUUCAGUUAAAGAAGAAAAAAAAAAAGGCCAUCUACCAGAGAGUCACGGAAGACGGGCCUCACCCUUCUCGGAACACCGCUGAAUUCUAGGAGCUCUGACUCCCUCAGAGGUCUGGGAGCUUCAUCCUAGAAUGUAUGCGCAGCCAAAAUCCUAGUUCAGUGUCCACGAGCACGACAUUUCCACAUAUGCAAGGACUAACGCCACUUACUCGUGAGGAGCUCAGAAAAUGCGGGCAGACAAGAAGGUCCCGAGUGGCAGCUGUGCAACAGCCGGGACAGGGCGCUUUGGGGGCGUCUGAGGAAAGAGUGCAGACAGGAUCCCAGACAUUACAGAGGUGCUGAAGCCACACGUCUGGAAGGACAAAGACUCCUGUCCCUGCCACAGGGGAUUCCCAGCACUUCUGGCCUCACCCACAAAGACACACGGCGCUACAGAACCAUGAGCUCUUCACAACACAGGACGAAGGAAGGAGAAACGGUGGCUCCGGAAGAGGCCGCCCUUCUACAGAGCGUGCCCGGAGGAUUCCUGCUCGAGGCGUCCCCAACAGGAACAAGAAAUCUCAACACCCCUCAAGCCCAGACAGCAUCGCCAGGCACCCGCCUCGGACAGUGUCCCCACUCAGGCCCCAGGAAGCAGCAGGGCUGCUUGGAGAGCUCAGGGGGGCCCGAAGGGAAAAAAAGAUACCACACAGCAGGUGUGAGUGAGGCUUUACUGCUGAUCAGGCAGGGCUGGGUGGGGACCACGCUGGGGGAGCAGGGCCUACAUGCCGGGUCAGGGCUGGUCUUCAGGGCAGGGCUGGGCAGCUCAGGACUGAGCCCCACAGGCAAGGGCCAGGCUCCACACGUCAGGCCUGAGCUCUCCAUGUCAGGCUGCUCACAGCAGGAGCAAGCACAGAAAGGAAGGCGGGUCUGGUUGGCCUCAGAGCAGAAAGGAUACCUUCAGCCGCUGACUUCACGGCAGAAGGGCAGGAGGCUGCAGAGCGCUCAAGAUCCUGGUGAAUGCGGCCUGGGAAAGGCUUAGGGGCCACGUGAGGCCUGAUGGGAACAAGGAGGACAAGCAAGACGUCUGGUCGUGGGCUGCAGGGAGGGCCAGCUGUCCUCCAGGGCCUACUCCUCACUCCAUCUCCUGCUUCAGGGCACUACUUGUUGCCCCACAUGGCCAUCUUUGAAUACACGGGGUGUGGCAGGAAGCGGCUGGACCUCAUGUAGGCUGAGAUCCUCUCCAGGCCCUGAGGGUGGGAAGAGAAGCUCAGACGUCAGGGUCAGCGGCCCCUGGGACUCAAGAGGCUCCACUCCAGACAGACACCGAGUUCGAGAACCUGGGCGUGCCCUUCCUCGUGGGGUCAAGGGGUCCACAAAAGACAGUCUUCCUGGGGUUCCUAGUUCUGGUCCGUUAACUCUUCAACGCCCUGUAACUCAUGUGGUAACGCUUCCCACCCAGGGACACGUUCCACUGUGCUGGGUGCUGUAUAUCCUCCAGAGGUGAUGACGGCAGGCAUAGCUCAUUCUAGCCCACGUCCAAUUACUGUGCUUCACAGAUGGUGUGUCUUUUCCAAAUGGAAGCUUUUGGAGUUCCCGUCGUGGCUCUGUGGUAAUGAACCUGACAAGUAUCCAUGAGGAUGCAGGUUCCAACCCUGGCCUGGCUCAGUGUGUUAAGCAUCCAGCACUGCUGUGAGCUGUGGUGCCACUUGUACCCACAUUGCUGUGGCUGUAGUGUAGGUGGAAGGCUGCAGCUCCGAUUCAACCCCUAGCCUGGGAACCUCCAUAGGCUGGGUUGUGCCCUUAAAAAGACAAAAAAAAAUUAAGCUUGAUAUCAACCCUGCCUUAAGCAAGUUGAUCAAUCCCAUUUUUUCAACAGCAUUUACUCACUUCCUGCCUGUGUCACAUGGGAUGAUUUUCUCAAAAACUCCCCCUUUUUCGUUGUGAUUAUGUUUGCUCUGGUGAUUUGUAUUCAGCCGUCUUUGAUGUUGCUACGGCAAAAGAUUACACUCAGUGAAGGCUCAGAUGAUGGUCAGCAUUUUUCAGCAAUAAACUAUCCUUCAAGUAAGGGAGUACACACUUUGUUUAGACCUAAUGCCAUUGCACAUCCUAUCGAUGGCGGUUCAGUGUAAACACAACUUUGCUGUGCCCUGAGAAACAAAAAAAGUCAUGCGACUUGCUUCACUGCAACAGUCACCGUGUCGUGGGUGUCCACAGCCAAACAGAACAACUGCAAUCUACCCAAGAUACGCCUGGGGGUUGAGAAGGUCCACACAACUAACCUGAGUUCGUCUCCUGCAUCAGGAGGGAACACCAGGUACCCAAAGAGGAAGCACCUUCCUCGUGUUCAGGCAUCUAAUCAGUUAUACCCCGGAAUGCAGCCCGGCUCUCUCUCCAAUCCUGUGCUCUUGGCCGGGCACUACCCACAAGAGGACAUGUCGUCUGCCUCACUGCUCGCAAACUUGCUCCAUUGUCAGAGGGAAGCUUCUAGACCAGAGGGAUGCCUAGACCAACAAAGACCCACACAAAGUGCCAGAGCAGCUUGCAGCACAGAACAGGUCGCAUCCAAUGACUCAGCAAAACCUGGAUGAAAGGUGAGAGGAGGAUAAGGAGCGGCCAGGUCAGGCCUGGCCAGGCCGACUCUAAUCAGUCCACUUCAAGGACAGAGUCCAACUGCCCCGCCUGGCACCUGAGCCCCGUCUCAAUGGACCCCAACCUACUUCAUCUGCCACUGCAGCCACCCAGGCAGUAAGACACGCAGGGGUGUCUGUGCACUAUCUUCCCAAGAUGAAGAGUGCCCGGGAAGCUGCAGGGGUGCAAAGAUCCUGGGGCUGCCUCUACCCACAGCCCAGGCCCCAACAGGCCACACGGCAGCUCCCUUGCCUGCCAGGCAAUCAUCUCCGCUCUUACAAAAUGCUCAGGCCACAAGCCUGGAGCAGAGCCAGAAGGAGCCAGAAAACAGAUUUCAGGAUGGGCAUGGCAAACACACUGCAGGCUGCAAAACCUACUGCACCAAUGCCUCAAGUGCCCAAAUCUGUCAAAAAGCAAACUUUGCUGCUCGGCCACUGGCGGACUGAGGGUGAUGGGUGAUGAGCUGGGAGGUGAGGGCAGCCUGGGCUCCCCCAGCACCAAGGUGGCUGCACGCGCCACACACCUCGGGGGUCCUGUGUUUCUCCAGCUGCCCUGAGCCCCAGAGGGAGGGCACCAGAGCUGUGGGACGGCGGCAUCCCCCCUGGGCCUGACACAGUGCCUCCUACAGAGGACAGGGUCAGAUCAGUGACUGUGGCGACGGUCCCACCUCUGAGAUGAAUCUUGGUUUAGUGGAAGGCAGAAGGAAAGGGAGACGGGCAGGGAAGGAAAGGGCCCACAAGAAGAGACACAAGGCCCGCGACAGGACAAACUCCUACGUGGGCAUGUGCUCAAAACACAGCACUGCUGCGUCCUGGGAAUCUCAGUACAAGCCCGGGGUGGGGGGGGUCUGAUGGUUACAAAGCUGUGUGGGAAUCAGGAACAAUAUUGUUCGUGGCUUCGAUAUUUAAUACCAAUCCUUCUGUGUCUCAGGUCUACUAAUGCCAAUGCCAUACCAACUCUUGAAGGCUCUGCUUCAUCCACACUGUCCAGAGCUGUAGUCCAGACAAGACAAGGACCUGAGCGGUUCAUGUCAGCACAGGAGAGGGAGAGCCACUGACAGCUGUGCUUAGAUGCCAGAUGCUCUCUCCGCCUGGGAGCCCAGCGAGCCUGUCCUGGCUCUUGACGUUCGGCAAUUACUGAUCCUUUCAGCUGAACCCCUGAUCUCUAAUAUGGGGGAGAUCAUUCUGCGACCCUGGAGGAAUGCCGUUCACAUCAAAUUUGAGAUAUGGAAAAACCCAGAGCAUAGAUUCUGAUGUGGCAGUCUGCAA